UUUUGCAAAUUGUAUUGUAAGACCCCCUUUCGGGGACCCCCAUUCUAGUCUCGGGAGUGAGAGAGCACCCAAAGAAACAUGAGAAUCC
rnacentral:pre_miRNA from 7 species